UACAGAGGUCCCAAGCGUUGUUCGGAAUUACUGGGCGUAAAGCGCACGUAGGCGGCUUUGUAAGUUAGAGGUGAAAGCCUGGAGCUCAACUCCAGAACUGCCUUUAAGACUGCAUCGCUUGAAUCCAGGAGAGGUGGGUGGAAUUCCGAGUGUAGAGGUGAAAUUCGUAGAUAUUCGGAAGAACACCAGUGGCGAAGGCGGCUCACUGGACUGGUAUUGACGCUGAGGUGCGAAAGCGUGGGGAGCAAACAGGG
rnacentral:rRNA from 1 species